GUGGGGAAUUUUGGACAAUGGGCGCAAGCCUGAUCCAGCCAUGCCGCGUGAGUGAAGAAGGCCUUCGGGUUGUAAAGCUCUUUCGGCCGGAACGAAAUCGCACUCGUGAAUAACGAGUGUGGAUGACGGUACCGGAAGAAGAAGGACCGGCUAACUACGUGCCAGCAGCCGCGGUAAUACGUAGGGUCCAAGCGUUAAUCGGAAUUACUGGGCGUAAAGCGUGUGCAGGCGGUUUCGAAAGUCCGAUGUGAAAUCCCCGGGCUUAACCUGGGAACUGCGUUGGAAACUACGAAGCUAGAGUGCGGCAGAGGGGGGUGGAAUUCCAGGUGUAGCAGUGAAAUGCGUAGAUAUCUGGAGGAACACCGAUGGCGAAGGCAGCCCCCUGGGUCAGCACUGACGCUCAUACACGAAAGCGUGGGGAGCAAACAGGAUUAGAUACCCCGGUAGUCC
rnacentral:rRNA from 1 species